rnacentral:rRNA from 1 species
AGCGAACGCUUUCUUCCUUCCUAACACAUGCAAGUCGAACGAACCUUUCGGGGUUAGUGGCGGACGGGUGAGUAACACGUGGGAACGUGCCUUUAGGUUCGGAAUAACUCAGGGAAACUUGUGCUAAUACCGAAUGUGCCCUUCGGGGGAAAGAUUUAUCGCCUUUAGAGCGGCCCGCGUCUGAUUAGCUAGUUGGUUGAGGUAAUGGCUCACCAAGGCGACGAUCAGUAGCUGGUCUGAGAGGAUGAUCAGCCACAUUGGGACUGAGGCACGGCCCAAACUCCUACGGGAGGCAGCAGUGGGGAAUCUUGCGCAAUGGGCGAAAGCCUGACGCAGCCAUGCCGCGUGAAUGAUGAAGGUCUUAGGAUUGUAAAAUUCUUUCACCGGGGACGAUAAUGACGGUACCCGGAGAAGAAGCCCCGGCUAACUUCGUG